rnacentral:tRNA from 1 species
AAGGCUUUAUCUUAAUUAAAGUGUCUGCUUUGCACGCAGAAGCUGUGGGUUAAUGUCCCGCAAGUCUUA